AACCCUUGUGGAGGAGGACGCCGAAGGUGGGGCUAAUGACUGGGGUGAAGUCGUAACAAGGUAGCCGUACCGGAAGGUGCGGCUGGAUCACCUCCUAACAGGGAGACAACAAAAUGUUAAAUAUUAAUUUUGUCACCUUAGGUCGAUCGGUAUCUCACAUUCUUAAUUUAUUAAGGAUUUUAUUUCCUAAGUUUUUUCUAGGUCACACCCAUUACUUUUCCUGGGCCAUUAGCUCAGGUGGUUAGAGCGCACCCCUGAUAAGGGUGAGGUCCCUGGUUCAAGUCCAGGAUGGCCCAUAUCUCUAUGUUGGGGGUAUAGCUCAGUUGGUAGAGCGCCUGCUUUGCAAGCAGGAUGUCAGCGGUUCGAGUCCGCUUACCUCCACUGAUUACCACCUCUUCCAUAAUUUUAUAACGGAAAUGUUUUGAGUUGUGAUCAAAUUCUGAACGAAUCUAGCUUCCUAAUUUUCUAAAUUAAGAUGCUGGACUCAUUGAAUUAAUUUCUUUGUUUUCAGAGAACCUUGACAACUGCAUAGAUUAUUUUUAAAGACAAUAAGCAUCUUUAAUGAUGCAGAUUUAUUAUUUAUGUGAAUGCAUUAAUAACAAUUCUAUUAAGCUGAUGCUUCAAUUUUUGAAGUUAUUGGUCAAGCUACAAAGGGCUCACGGAGGAUACCUAGGCACACAGAGGC
rnacentral:misc_RNA from 1 species